rnacentral:misc_RNA from 1 species
GGACAAUUUACUCCCAAUCGCUGAAUUGUCGUCAAAUCCUUGUUGGCGUCUUGGCGUACGUCCCAAUUCCAACCACGUCUCCCUCAACUCAAGUUGUGAAAGAUUUUCUUUGAAAAAAUCCAUCCUCCAGACAAAAAAAAAAAAUGACUCUGCUUCUUCCUCCUAAACUUAAUGAUGGCUUGGUAUAUGGAUCUUAUUCCACCAUAAACAUGAUGAGAUGAAGGAGAGGCAACGUUGGCAACCAGAAGAAGACGCUCUCCUCAAAGCGUACGUCAAGCAAUAUGGACCCAAAGAAUGGAACCUUAUCUCUCGCCGCAUGCCCAAACCUCUCAACCGCGACCCUAAGUCCUGCCUCGAGCGCUGGAAGAACUAUCUCAAGCCUGGCAUUAAGAGGGGUUCUUUGACCCCCGACGAACAAUCCCUCGUCAUCUCUCUCCAAUCCAAAUACGGCAACAGGUGGAAAAAGAUCGCCGCCCAACUCCCUGGCCGCACUGCCAAGCGGCUCGGCAAGUGGUGGGAAGUUUUCAAAGAAAAGCAAUCCAAGUUGAACCCACAAGGGAAUAUUCCGGUUAUCGGUGAUAAACUCGGUCAGGGCAGAUACGAUCAUAUUUUGGAUACUUUUGCUGAGAAGUACGUUCAAUCUAAUAUUCUGAAGUUUCAAUCAUCUCUCUGUUAUCCUGCAACAUUGCCUGGUGAUGCUGGUUUAAAUAGUGUUUCUUUCAUGUCCGAUCCGGAUCCUGUUCUUUCCCUUGGAUCGGUUUGGAUGAACGCGGCAUCGUCCUUGUCAUUUUCAACCACGACAACAGCAUCACUAACGCCGUCCCUGUCCGUAAGUCUUUCUCUGUCACCGUCGGAUCCGGGUAUGGACCCCGAGCUGACGAGGUUCACUCGGGGUCAGAAUAUGGGUACUCUGAUACAGUACUGCAAGGUGAUGGAGGAAGGUAGGCAAAACUGGGUGCAGCACAAGAAGGAAGCGAUAUGGAGGCUGAGCAGACUAGAGCAGCAGCUGGAGUCAGAAAAAGCGAGGAAGAUGAGAGAUAAAAUGGUGGAGAUAGAAGCAAAGAUAAGGCUUUUGAGGGAAGAGGAAAUGGGAUUCAUGAGCAGGAUUGAGAGUGAUUACAGAGAGCAGUUAAAUACAUUGCAAAGAGAUGCAGAGAGUAAAGAAGCAGAAUUGGUGAAAGCUUGGUGUAGCAAACAUGCAAAGCUGGAGAAGCUUGUGAAACAGAUCGGUGGUGGUAUUAUGUUCAACAAUUAAAGCACCAAAUUAAAGAAAAUUAAUGGCUGAUUAUUAAUCAUGAAUUUUAACGGGAAAAGAGACGAGAAGGUGGAGUGUGAGAAAAGAGAAGAGUGGUCAAUUCAUUUCUGUUAUGUCCAAUCUAUUUUCUCAUUUUUGUUAGCGAAAAGAAAAGGUUUGUGGAGGAAGAUGAUGAUGAUGAUAUACAUGGUAUCUUUUCUUUUGUACGUACAUGUCGGCUAGUGGCCCAGCACCACUCUGCAUGAUAAAUGUAUUGGGCCGGGUUGGGCCACAACCAGAAUCUCCAUUUUGCUUACUAUUUCUUUUGAG